CUAACCUCUCUGCACACUUGAAAAACAACAUUUUGACCAUGUGUACGCUUGCUUAGUCAUUCAUUUGUGUCUGACUCUUUGCGACCCUAUGGACUAUAUAACCCACCAGGCUCCUCUGUCCAUGGGAUUCUCCAUGCAAGAAUACUGGAAUGGGUUGCUAUUUCCUUCUCCAGGGGAUCGUCUUGACCCAGGGAUUGAACCAGCAUCUCCUGAGUCUUCUGCACUGGCCUAAUGCAGGUCCCAUGUGAAGUGGUUUUCCACCUCUGAGGACUAAUCUCUGCUAACAGUGGCCUGCACGUCACACUGAGUCUCCUGAGCUGGACAGUCUCUCUCCAGAGAACUGACGGUGGAGUUUCUGGAAAACUACAAGACCUGAGAUGUUACAACAGACCAAAUGCAGAAGCAGAUGUCAGCAUCCAGCUGUCUUCUAUUCAACCAGACAUUCAAGAGAUUUGCAAAUGUGUAAAACA
ensembl:lncRNA